AUUGUACCUUUUCUACUUCUCAACAUAAAAUUCCUUUCCGGUGAGCUUUCUACUUCUUCAUAGCCAGGAGUUCGGCCAUAUCUUUGUACACAACAAAAAAAUUGUUCGAACUAGGGUUAGCUCCGCCGUUUCUUCUAUUCUCUCCUUUCUUUUCUUUAUUUCAUUCUUUUUGUCUCUCUUUCUUGAAUAGAAGACGGUUUUCUUCUCCUCGGCCGCCACUCCUCAAAUCCCUCAAACGCAGAACUACCGACAAUAACCACCAUUGUCCCUAAUAUAGGAUUCCCCCCUUCGCCUCCCUCCACUUUUUUUACCGUUUCUUCUUCUAUUUUUUUUCCGUUUUUUCCUUUUUUCGCUUUUGCAUCCGUUCACUCCUCCUCCUCCUCCAUCGCCACACCAUCUCCCUCUCCUUUAUCGGCUCCUUCUAUUCUACACCUAGCAUUAUGGGUUUCCCUUCUCCCACCAGCCCUAGGAUUUCCCUUCCGCCUCCCUCCAUUUCAACUUUAUUCUCGCCGGAUCCCCUCUCAGCCAUUGGAAGGGCUUUCAAAUCCGCCGCAAGCUCGUCGCCAUCAUCGGCAUCUCUCACUGCAUGUGUAGGAUUGAGGCAAUUUUCAGCAACAACAAGAUGUACAAUGCGGAGAUGGCUACUGUGAUGGCGAGUCGCAGUUCAAAUUAUUGCUUGCCUAUAACGAUGUAAUGAAAGCUUUUGCAGAGUGUAACAAGUUUGGAAAUCUCCCAUAUGGCUUCAGAGCUAACACAUGGCUUAUUCCCCCUGUAGUGGCAUUAUCAACUUCUAUUUUUCCACCUCUUCCC